rnacentral:rRNA from 1 species
AUUGACCGCUGGCGGCAGGCCUAACACAUGCAAGUCGAACGAGUGGCGGACGGGUGAGUAAUGUCUGGGAAACUGCCCGAUGGAGGGGGAUAACUACUGGCAACGGUAGCUAAUACCGCAUACCAUCGGAUGUGCCCAGAUGGGAUUAGCUAGUAGGUGGGGUAACGGCUCACCUAGGCGACGAUCCCUAGCUGGUCUGAGAGGAUGACCAGCCACACGGGAACUGAGACACGGGCCAGACUCCUACGGGAGGCAGCAGUGGGGAAUAUUGCAAAAGGGGCGCAAGCCUGAUGCAGCCAUGCCGCGUGUAUGAAGAAGGCCUGAGGGUUGUAAAGUACUUUCAGCGAGGAGGCGUUACUCGCAGAAGAAGCACCGGCUAACUCCGUGCCAGCAGCCGCGGUAAUUC